rnacentral:rRNA from 1 species
AUGAACGCUGGCGGCGUGCCUAAUACAUGCAAGUCGAGCGAACAGACGAGGAGCUUGCUCCUCUGACGUUAGCGGCGGACGGGUGAGUAACACGUGGAUAACCUACCUAUAAGACUGGGAUAACUUCGGGAAACCGGAGCUAAUACCGGAUAAUAUAUUGAACCGCAUGGUUCAAUAGUGAAAGACGGUUUUGCUGUCACUUAUAGAUGGAUCCGCGCCGCAUUAGCUAGUUGGUAAGGUAACGGCUUACCAAGGCGACGAUGCGUAGCCGACCUGAGAGGGUGAUCGGCCACACUGGAACUGAGACACGGUCCAGACUCCUACGGGAGGCAGCAGUAGGGAAUCUUCCGCAAUGGGCGAAAGCCUGACGGAGCAACGCCGCGUGAGUGAUGAAGGUCUUCGGAUCGUAAAACUCUGUUAUUAGGGAAGAACAAAUGUGUAAGUAACUAUGCACGUCUUGACGGUACCUAAUCAGAUAGCCACGGCUAACUACGUG